rnacentral:lncRNA from 1 species
GCCUUAUGGUUUGAAUUUUCAGCUACCAACAAUGAAUCCAAAUAUGAAGCUCUCAUCAUCGGGCUAAAAAUUAUAAAAAAACUUGGGGUACAAAAGUUGAGGAUCUGCAGUGACUCCCAAUUGGAGGUGGGACAAGUAAAGGGAGAUUUUGAGAUGCGGGAGGAAAAUAUGAAGAGGUACUUGUAGAAGGUGAAGGACCUUAUUCUAGUAUUUAUUAAUUUCAACAUUCAGUAGGUGCCU